UACGUAGGGUGCAAGCGUUGUCCGGAAUUAUUGGGCGUAAAGAGCUCGUAGGCGGUUUGUCACGUCGGUUGUGAAAAUCCGAGGCUCAACCUCGGACCUGCAAUCGAUACGGGCAGGCUAGAGUUCGGUAGGGGAGACUGGAAUUCCUGGUGUAGCGGUGAAAUGCGCAGAUAUCAGGAGGAACACCGGUGGCGAAGGCGGGUCUCUGGACAGCUCCUGACGCUGAGGCACGAAGGUCAGGGGAGCAAACGGG
rnacentral:rRNA from 1 species